AUUGAACGCUGGCGGCAGGCCUAACACAUGCAAGUCGAGCGGCAGCGGGAAAGUGGCUUGCUACUUUUGCCGGCGAGCGGCGGACGGGUGAGUAAUGCCUGGGAAAUUGCCCAGUCGAGGGGGAUAACAGUUGGAAACGACUGCUAAUACCGCAUACGCCCUACGGGGGAAAGCAGGGGACCUUCGGGCCUUGCGCGAUUGGAUAUGCCCAGGUGGGAUUAGCUAGUUGGUGAGGUAAUGGCUCACCAAGGCGACGAUCCCUAGCUUGUCUGGAGUGAUGAUCAGCCACACUUGAACUGAUACACUGUCCAGACUCCUACGGGAGGCAGCAGUGGGGAAUAUUUCACAAUGGGGGAAACCCUGAUGCAGCCAUGCCGCGUGUGUGAUGAAGGCCUUCGGGUUGUAAAGCACUUUCAGCGAGGAGGAAAGGUUGAUGCCUAAUACGUAUCAACUGUGACGUUACUCGCAGAAGAAGCACCGGCUAACUCCGUUCCAGCAGCCGCCGCUG
rnacentral:rRNA from 1 species